UAGUCCUACGGGGGGCAGCAGUGGGGAAUAUUGCACAAUGGGGGGAACCCUGAUGCAGCGACGCCGCGUGGGUGAAGGAGUAUUUCGGUAUGUAAAGCCCUAUCAGCAGGGAAGAACAAUGACGGUACCUGACUAAGAAGCACCGGCUAAAUACGUGCCAGCAGCCGCGGUAAUACGUAUGGUGCAAGCGUUAUCCGGAUUUAUUGGGUUUAAAGGGUGCGCAGGCGGCGUGUCAAGUCAGCGGUAAAAUGUCGGGGCUCAACCCCGGCCGGCCGUUGAAACUGGCGUG
rnacentral:rRNA from 1 species